GAUGAAGAACGCAGCGAAAUGCGAUAAGUAAUGUGAAUUGCAGAAUUUAGUGAAUCAUCGAAUCUUUGAACGCACAUUGCGCCCCCUGGUAUUCCGGGGGGCAUGCCUGUUCGAGCGUCAUUUCACCACUCAAGCCUCGCUUGGUAUUGGGCAACGCGGUCCGCCGCGUGCCUCAAAUCGACCGGCUGGGUCUUCUGUCCCCUAAGCGUUGUGGAAACUAUUCGCUAAAGGGUGUUCGGGAGGCUACGCCGUAAAACAACCCCAUUUCUAAGGUUGACCUCGGAUCAGGUAGGGAUACCCGCUGAACUUAAGCAUAUCAAUAAGCGGAGGA
rnacentral:misc_RNA from 1 species